CCCAAAUAACUACUAAUAAGUAUUUACUAAUUAAGGUUCAAGAAAAAUAACUAUGAAGUAACUACUACCCAGCAUGCCCCCCCACACCCCGUAUGGUCCACUGCUUCAUGAGUGAGGUCUUUAAGAAGAAAUAAACUUCAGAAUGGAACCCCAAGUGCCUUGCCAUUAUUAACUAACUUACCUCAGUGUUUCUACCAGAGCAUGUUAUCCAGAGGUAUAAAAAGGUCCUGCAGUACAUCGAUAAGGGAGUCACCAAAACCCUGGCUUACCGCAAGUGUGGGAUUGACAGAAAAACCAUUGUUGACACUGCAGCAAUAGCGGAGCUGGAGGCGUGUGACACUGAAGCCUACAAGAACUUGCGUGAAAAUGUUCAUAGAGGGCAAAAACUGUCACAAUUUGCAGAGAAAUGCAGGGAAAUUUGCAAGACAGAGCCACUUCAAACUUUGAUUGAAGAUAAAAAGAAAAAUGGCCAGCUAAUUGACCUCUGUCACAGACAAAAAUUACUUUUGUGUGUGUUGGAAAGGUUGAAGUUCAGGCCUUGAGAGUUGACGUUUUAUAGUUUUUAUAGUCAGUUUUUUUUUUUUUUGGUCUAACAGGUUUGGACUUAAAACAAUGUUUUCUUUUUUUUUUUAUCUCCUGUUUUAUAGUUUUUUUUUUUUUUUGAAAACAUGUUUUCAUGUACACUUUUUGCAAUAAAUUUCAAUGUUCU
rnacentral:lncRNA from 1 species